GAGGGAACCUGCAGACCCCAGGGGCCAGCCUUUGCCUGAUUCCUGAAUUUGUUAAAGCCAUUUUAUGUAGUGUGGAAGGUGCUUCACUGAAGAGCCUCCUCCUCACCCCAGCAGCCUCCUCCCAGGCAGACCCACCCCUGCCAUCCCCAACCUGAGACCCUUGACCUUUUCACCUUGCACUCUGAGCUACCUGGCACCCCAAAACUCCUCCUGGUAGUGGGGUUGAGCUCUUGUAAGGAGCCUGAGGAAGAAAGACCAGUAUUGGGAGCUCAUGUCCCAGCCCCUCAUGCACAGUUCACCUAGACUAGAGCCAGGAAGUUUAGGGAGUCCCAGUGCAUGGCUAGGGGUGCCCUGAGGGCGCUGUCUGAACCUCAGGCUGUCACAGUUCAUCAAUCAGCCAGCCAUGCACCUGUCAGGUGUGCCUGCCAACAGCCUGCCCCAUCUUUCUCAUCCUCCCAGCCAAGGCAGACCACUCCAGAGGGACCUGCACAGCCCCUUCCUCAAGACCACCACAGGAGGCCUGGGAGUGAGAAGGGUCACGGUGCUGGGUGCCUGGGUUCCUCAGCACCGGCCACUCCCACUUUGCCCUGGUGUGCCCAUCAGGCCCAGAGAAGAAACCCGCUCUGGGCGUCUUACUUUUUACUCUUAUUCAGAAAAACCUUCCUUAGCCUUUUCUUUGUUUCUGACAGCAAAAUCAAAGGAAAUUCAAGAUGAAAUUUUAGGCCAGAGCCUGGCCUAAAAACUGCAAGUGUUCAUAAUUAACAAAAGAAAUCUAAAAAAAGAGAUGAUGUGUUGCCGCUCCCCUGCAGCUGUGGAGGAAGGAGAGCUGUUCUGCAUCCAUAAAAACCAGUUAAAAGGGAUUUCAUAAGGUCUGAAAUUGAGAACUUUCCCAAGAAUACUGCAUCUUGUUCUCUUGUGCAAUAUACAGACGUGUGAAUAUUCCUAACAGUAACCAAAUGGGUGCACUCUCUGUGAAAACGCAUCUUUCAAAGAGUUUUUUAAACAAAGGAGACUCCUGGGCCUUUAGAAAUAAUUGCCACAAACUGCAAAAACAAUCUCCAACCUCCCACUUCUGUAAUUCUCAUCUGUUGUCUUACUAGAAAAUUUAUUUCUCUGGUAAUAAUGUUAUAAUUGAUAUCCCUGUCUUCUCAAGAUGUAAAAUACUUGUAAAAACUUCUCUGUCCAUCAGAAAAUAAUUAUUGGCACUUUUCUUCUCUCUCAUGUGCAUGAUGGAACAAUAAAAAGCUUAUGGCUUUGCUAGAUCUAUUAUUUAACAAA
rnacentral:lncRNA from 1 species